rnacentral:lncRNA from 1 species
CUACCAUGAUGAAUUGCCGCAACUUGGAGGCUUAAAACAACACAAAUUAGUAUUCUCACAGUCCUGAAGGCUACAACUCUGCAAUCAAGAUAUCAGCAAGGCCAUCAUUCCCCUAAGGCUCUAAGGAAGACUCCAUUUUUGCCUCUUCCUGCUUCUGGGAUGCAUCCACUUUAUUAGAUGGCAAACUAGAAAAUGCUUCCCACAAUCACCACAUAAAAAGGGUGGGGCAGUAGGAGACACUGAAUUCACGUAUCAUUGAAAACCAUAAUAUUAGAAGAGCUUAAGUUUUAAAGAAUGCUGGCAAAUGUUUAAGCGAUCAGCACUGCUGGUUUACUAUAAACAUAAUGGACCACAUGUUGAGUACCUUGACAUACAAGUAAAUUCAUAUAGUACAAAUCAUUCAACACACAUAUCUCGAGAACAAGUGAGAAGACAGCCAUCUGCAAACCAGAGAGAAAGUCCUCAUGAGGAACUGAAUCAACCUUCACCUUGAUCUUGGGCUUCCCAGCCUUUGCAACUGUGAGAAAUAAAUGUGUCUUUAUGCCA